ACGAAGGGGGCUAGCGUUGUUCGGAAUUACUGGGCGUAAAGCGCGCGCAGGCGGUUCGAUAAGUUGGGGGUGAAAUCCCCGGGCUCAACCCGGGAAUGGCCUUCAAGACUGUCGAGCUAGAGGACGAGAGAGGUGAGUGGAAUUCCCAGUGUAGAGGUGAAAUUCGUAGAUAUUGGGAAGAACACCGGUGGCGAAGGCGGCUCACUGGCUCGUUUCUGACGCUGAGGCGCGAAAGCGUGGGGAGCAAACAG
rnacentral:rRNA from 1 species